GUUUAAUAGGGAUAUUUCGGCUCACAGAGGGGAAUUUGUCACUGGAAUCACCAGGGAAACCGCUCUCCGAUGACUGGAGAGAUGUUUUAAGAGCCUUGUCAAUCAGGUGGAGAACUACCCCCAAUUUCUCAGCACCUACAGGGAUCUGGCAGAUGAUGCCUCUGGCACAACCCAGCUGCAUCUUCCUAUAGGCUUUCAACUUGGUCAUCGAGGUGCUGAACACUACAGACCACCUGCAGUACACCAGGGAGUGGGCACUCCCCAGAUAUUGCCAAAAUAUCCAGAUGGUUGGAUUGUUGCUUCAUUGUUUUGGGCAAGACAGACUGGCUUUAGUGCUUUUCUGUAAUCCAAAUUAAAGUUAAACAAGAAAUAAAGUACCUGUAUGUU